CCCUUAGAUGUUCUGGGCCGCACACGCGCUACACUGAAGGAGGCAGCGUGUACUCCUGGAUCGAAAGAUUUGGGUAACCCGCGAAUCUCCUUCGUGCUAGGGAUUGAGGUUUGCAAUUAUCCUUCAUGAACGAGGAAUUCCCAGUAAGUGCAAGUCAUAAGCUUGCGCUGACUACGUCCCUGCCCUUUGUACACACCGCCCGUCGCUACUACCGAUUGAAUGAUUUAGUGAGGACUUCGGACUGGGACCGAUGCGGCUUUCGGGUUGCGUCGGUAUUCUGGAAAGAUGUCCAAACUGUAUCAUUUAGAGGAAGUAAAANUCGUAACA
rnacentral:rRNA from 1 species